rnacentral:rRNA from 1 species
CGCGGCCUAUCAGCUUGUUGGUGAGGUAACGGCUCACCAAGGCGACGACGGGUAGCCGGCCUGAGAGGGCGACCGGCCACACUGGGACUGAGACACGGCCCAGACUCCUACGGGAGGCAGCAGUGGGGAAUAUUGCACAAUGGGCGAAAGCCUGAUGCAGCGACGCCGCGUGAGGGAUGACGGCCUUCGGGUUGUAAACCUCUUUCAGCAGGGAAGAAGCGAAAGUGACGGUACCUGCAGAAGAAGCGCCGGCUAACUACGUGCCAGCAGCCGCGGUAAUACGUAGGGCGCGAGCGUUGUCCGGAAUUAUUGGGCGCAAAGAGCUCGUAGGCGGUCUGUCGCGUCGGAUGUGAAAGCCCGGGGCUUAACCCCGGGUCUGCAUUCGAUACGGGCAGACUAGAGUGUGGUAGGGGAGAUCGGAAUUCCUGGUGUAGCGGUGAAAUGCGCAGAUAUCAGGAGGAACACCGGUGGCGAAGGCGGAUCUCUGGGCCAUUACUGACGCUGAGGAGCGAAAGCGUGGGGAGCGAACAGGAUUAGAUACCCUGGUAGUCCACGCCGUAAACGGUGGGAACUAGGUGUUGGCGACAUUCCACGUCGUCGGUGCCGCAGCUAACGCAUUAAGUUCCCCGCCUGGGGAGUACGG